CAUUAAGCCCGGCUGUUUAAUUUUUCAGCAACUUCUCCGUGUUUGUUUUAAGAAAGAGCAGCUGAAUGUUCUCGGCUUGUAAAAUUAAAAUAUUAAGAAAACGCUCGGAUUAAGGGUUUUUAACCAGUGAAAUAAUCAUUAGCUACAUAACUGUCCGCAAAGUCUGCAAAGGAGAAAGGGAGGAAAAUGUAACUGACUGUAAGCACCCAAACUUCCCCGGCUAGAUGUUCAGCUAAUCAUCAGGUUGGAGGGAGAUCUUCGCUCUAAUUACACCUAAAAAAGUGGACUCGAUUUAUGGUUGGAAAUGAUGGAACUCUUCAAAAACAUUCUUCAAAUCAGAAUUCUGAAGCCAAAACACGGCAAGUCUGAGAGGAAGCAAAGCUGUGAGGCAGCUGCCCCAUCACUCCUACAGCUCCAGUACAAAUCCCGCAUGAAAAUACUCAGCAACAGCACUGCUGGCUCAUCCCAGCCCUGCCCUUCAAACAAGUGACCUUCAACCUGCCACUGCCCGCAUGGACUGUGUGAAUUAGACUUGCGGAGCCAUGACCCUGUUACCAGUUCACCGGUUGUUCCUCCUUGGGUCACAUCUGAUUGAUGAGAAUGUGAGAAUAUAUAGGAGGGAAUUUUAACCACACAGUUGGCCACCAAGCCUGCAGAGAUAAAUGUGGUCGUCUGCAUACAGAGCUGGAGCAACACUGCCACCUAGAGCCUGAAGUUUGUCCUAGUGAAGCAACCACACAGCAUUUACUAAAGGACAGGCAAUGAUGGAGGUCAAGCCUUUUACCCGUGGAGAGGUCCAAGUCCAGCCGUCUGAGACCCAUCACUCAGGAAGUCUGAGGCAGAGAUGAUCAAGACCACCAAGCACAAUGACUUAAGGAUCCAAGUUAGUAAG